GAUUCAGCACCCCAUUAAGAUUUUUACCGAAAGUAGAGUUGAAUGGGCAAUUGACUCCUUCGAACCCUUCAAGUCACGUGGUAGGGACGGAUGCUAUCCUGUACUACUACAGAAGAGUGAAACAGUUCUUGUACCCAAUCUAACACAACUAUUUCAAUCCAGUUUAAUUCUAGGUGAUAUUCCGGGAGCAUAGCGACCAGUGCGGGUUAUUUUUAUCCCAACAGCAAAUAAAAGGAAUAAAUCUUUGCUAAAAUCCUUUAGGCUAAUUAGCUUAUCAUCAGUCAUUCUUAAAACAAUGAAAAAUAAUCGGUGAGCACAUCAAGUCAUCAUAUCUUUUUAAAACUCCUCUUUGCAAAUACCAAUUUGCAUACCAGGAGGGAAGAUCGUCGGUAGCUGCACUCCAUACUGUAGUUACAAAACUAGAAAAAUCUUUGGCAGCAAAAGAAAUCUCACUUCGGCGUUCCUUGAUAAUGAAGGAACAUUUGAUAACUCUCAAGGAACAUUUCAAUAGGUUCUAUCUGACAUUUGUAAACAAAACCCAAUUUUUACGUAUUAUUUUAAAAGAAUUUUUUGUCUUCAAGCUUAUUGAAAAAAAAAAUUGGUUUUUGAUUUCCACAAAAAUUUUAGAGUGUGCGAUAAAAACGUCCAAUUUGAAAAGCAAUACAAUAUCACACAGCUUUCUGAUGGAACCUUUUUACCUGCUAGUAGGCCAAUCUGUUAUUUAAACGAAAACUUUGACAGAAGCAGAUUAGACCUCGAAGAUUCAAUUGUUGCAAAACUGGGUGAAUGUUUUUUAUCGGUAAAACGUAGUGAAAUAAAAUAAAAUGGAAUUCGUUUCGUCUAAUCUCGAUGCCGCAGAUAACGCGAACUGAAGUGUUUCGAAAGGAACUUCUUAGAAAUUAGACAAAAACUUCUCCGUAAUCUUCUGCGUUUAAACGUCCACAGCAGUAGUAAAGAACACCGCCGGACCCCAGGUCAUCAAUUCGAGACGCGCAUACAGCCGAAAGUAUAAGCUGCCAACCAAGGGUUCAAUGAAGGUCUGCAAAAUAAUGCUUCAAGCAAUGAAUAAAUCGGGAACAGAAAAAUCCGAGUACUAGCCGGGAAAAAUGCCACCGGUUUGAAUAUCGCUGCAAACGAUGGCAGAUCAUUUUCUGUGUAUAAAGAAACAUUCUGUCGUUUUCUGCAUAUUCUAGUCAUUACUCACGAGAAAAAUCGAGUAAACCACAUUUGUCGAGUGACUCAAAUAGUGCAUGUCACACCGGUGCAUUAUAACAACCAUUGUCUGGUGUUCAACUCAAUAACUUAGCUUCAGAAAACCGAAGGUAGACUCAUGCGGAAAAUACGAACGAUUGCGGAUGGUACCUAAUUAAACUAGAGUUAGACCCCGGAAAAAAGAAGAACUUGUGCAUAUUCUGCAAAAUAAUCAAUCUGCCACCGCCUGCCUUCAUGAUUAAGUGGGUAAUGGAUUCCUUUUAAUUUUGAUCUACAAAGAAGAGUUUGAUGUAAGAAUAAUGUUGGUCAAAUAAAAAAAAAUAUA